CUCUAUUGUGUACAAGGAUGGGACUGCACACAAACCUGAUAUCCCUCAAGGAGACUAGAAUCCGGUAGAGAGGUUAGGACAAAUACAUAAACAACUACAGCUUGAGUAUAGGCAUUAGAAGAAACACCUAAGGGAGACAUUUCCUGAUGGGACACUAUGUCACCUGAACCAAGAAAAUACUUUGGGGGGGUGGGUGUUGAUCUCCUCCAGCACCACUACCUAGGGAAUGUGGCCACCUGCUGGUUCCCCUUACACAAAAAGCCAAACUCUACAAAUGCAAAGAGAUAAGUAGGGUCAAGGAUAGUGACAGAGGACAUGCUGCUGCAAAAAUAGAUUAAAGCUUAGUCAAUGAAUGUUCAAGUGGUUUGGGAAGACCCUGAUCCCCCAAUCCUGGAACUUGAGCUAAGGUGAUGCCCAGGAAAUGCCAGAUCAGCUGGGUGAUAGGUUAUUGUGACCCCAAGGCAUAGCAGGAUAUGACAGAAUCAGGUGGCCAGGUUCGAGUAGAUCCCAACAUCCUUUCUUGUUUGGCUCCUAACCAUAGAACAUCAAAGCUGGAAAGAACUUCCAGACCAUCUUGUCCACUCUGCUCAUUUAAGGGAUGAGGAAAGUGAGGAACAGAGGGGGAAAUGACUUCUGAAGGUCAUACAGUCAUUGUGCCACCCAUUUCCACAGACAGAGAAUUGGCAGAAUUCUGAAAAUGAAGACUCUUUUUCCAAAGUGAAUUGCCGGCCAUCAGCAGAGCUUCCUUGGGGCAGUGCAGACCCGGCUCUCUACUGACCAGCAAGGCAGACCAGCCGACCAAGCUCUGAAAUUCUCUGGUUCAGUGAUUGCUGAGUAUAUGAGCUACACCUGGGAUGUGCUCACAGGGGAGCAAACCCAAGACCCUCAGGCCACUAUUCAGCCCCAUCACUUUACUUGUCUCUGGAAUAGUAGCCAAGUCAAGAGGGGACCCACUAUGACCAGUCAUUGGUGCUGUGAUCUGACAGGUAAAUAAUGUGUGUAAGUAGAGGACACUCAGAAUAAAGCUCAUUGAAUCACUGCA
rnacentral:lncRNA from 1 species